GUUACGCCAUAAACGCCAGGUAUCUCCAUCGGGAGAUAAAAGGGAAUCCCGUGGCCUGCAGAAGCAGGGAAUCGGGAGCGGUCCCGCCGCUGUAACCGGGGACGAAAACCAACGAAGCCACUGGGGGAUAACCCCGGGAAGGUUGGAGAGUAGGCCGAUCCGGGAGCCAGAAGACCUGCCCGGCGUCAUGAAAGGCC
rnacentral:ncRNA from 2 species